AGUGGAGUGAUGAGUGCUGGAUAAAUUGCUAGCGGCGGACGGGUGCGUAACACGUGGGUAACCUGCCCCUAUCACUGGGAUAACACACUGAAAAGUGUGCUAAUACCAGAUAACAUAAGCUUUUGGCAUCAUUAGCUUAUCAAAGAAUUUCGGAUAGGGAUGGGCCCGCGUCUGAUUAGCUAGUUGGUGAGGUAACGGCUCACCAAGGCAACGAUCAGUAGCCGACCUGAGAGGGUGAUCGGCCACACUGGAACUGAGACACGGUCCAGACUCCUACGGGAGGCAGCAGUGGGGAAUAUUGCACAAUGGGCGAAAGCCUGAUGCAGCAACGCCGCGUGAGCGAUGAAGGCCUUCGGGUCGUAAAGCUCUGUCCUAUGGGAAGAUAAUGACGGUACCAUAGGAGGAAGCCCCGGCUAACUACGUGCCAGCAGCCGCGGUAAUACGUAGGGGGCAAGCGUUAUCCGGAAUUACUGGGCGUAAAGGGUGCGUAGGCGGUUUAUCAAGUCAGGGGUGAAAGGCUACGGCUCAACCGUAGUGAGCCUCUGAAACUGGUGAACUUGAGUGUAGGAGAGGAAAGUGGAAUUCCCAGUGUAGCGGUGAAAUGCGUAGAUAUUGGGAGGAACACCAGUGGCGAAGGCGACUUUCUGGACU
rnacentral:rRNA from 1 species